AAAUAAUGAAUACAUCAAAUUCUGUAACAACUGAAGUGCGGAUACUGUGGAUGGCUACUGAAUACUGCUUGUCAAAAUUUAUGGGAACAUCGAUGCUUUGCGAAUUAUGAUGAGAGAGAAAAUCUUAUUAAUGUUGAUCAAAACUCAAUUGUUACUAUCGGUAUUAUGUCAAUUGAAGAACUGCAAAAAAAGUGGAAAUAUCAUCGCGACUGCUAUGUGAGAGCUAGAAAAAAGAUGAAAACAUAUGUUCCUAGUGGAUCUGGCGCAUUACCAUCAAAUUAAAAAAAUUCUUAUCGAUAUUUUGAAUUAAUGAAGCCUUUGGAUGAUACUCUUCAAACAGAAUCAACAAUAAGUACGUUAUUAAUAGAAUCACAGCCUUCUACCUCUGACGAAAAUACUUCUGGAUAUUUAUCUACUGUUGAGAGUAUAAUAUCGCCUAAUAUCGAAAAUUCUGUAGGAAGUGAUGAUAUCACAUUUCGCCAACUCCGCUUCUAAAUCGUCCAUCUCGAACUCCGACUCCUAAUUCAACAAACACUAAAAAGCGAAAAUUAUCAGAAAAUGAUCAAUCAUCCGCUAUAGAAUCAUUUUUAUUGAACAUCUUAAAUAUGCCCGUUCCACAGAUGGAUGCAGUAGACGGAUUUCUCAAAGUAUUAGGAGAAGUUUUACGGCGACUGCCAUAUGAGAAACGCGCUACAUUACAAUUAAAAUUACU